rnacentral:rRNA from 1 species
GACAGAGGGUGCAAACGUUUGUUCGGAAUUACUGGGCGUAAAGCGUGUGUAGGCGGUCUCAUAAGUCGGAUGUGGAAGCCCCGGGCUCAACCCGGGGAAGUGCAUUCGAAACUGCGAGGCUAGAGUAUCGGAGAGGUUGGUGGAAUUCUCGGUGUAGAGGUGAAAUUCGUAGAUAUCGAGAGGAACACCGGUGGCGAAGGCGGCCAACUGGACGAAUACUGACGCUGAGACACGAAAGCGUGGGGGAGCAAACAGG